rnacentral:rRNA from 1 species
GACGAACGCUGGCGGCGUGCUUAACACAUGCAAGUCGAACGGAAAGGCCCUGCUUUUGUGGGGUGCUCGAGUGGCGAACGGGUGAGUAACACGUGAGUAACCUGCCCUUGACUUUGGGAUAACUUCAGGAAACUGGGGCUCAUACCGGAUAGGAGCUCCUGCUGCAUGGUGGGGGUUGGAAAGUUUCGGCGGUUGGGGAUGGACUCGCGGCUUAUCAGCUUGUUGGUGGGGUAGUGGUUUACCAAGGCUUUGACGGGUAGCCGGCCUGAGAGGGUGACCGGCCACAUUGGGACUGAGAUACGGCCCAGACUCCUACGGGAGGCAGAAGUGGAGAAUAUUGCACAAUGGGCGGAAGCCUGAUGCAGCAACGCCGCGUGCGGGAUGACGGCCUUCUGGUUGUAAACCGCUGUCGCCUGUGACGAAGCGUGAGUGACGGUAAUGGGUAAAGAAGCACCGGCUAACUACGUG